AGAGUACAUAAGUAAAAAUUUAAAUUUUGACCGAUAAAUAUAAGUAGAUGCGGAGAAAAAAAAAUUCCAGUUCCGGCUCCGCGCGCCAUCCACGGCCCGAUAGCCGGAUCCAGUUCGCCAAAAAUCGAUCGCGCACAGUAUAGCUAUCUGUAGCCCGAUCGAUGCACACCGGCCGGCCGGCGUCACAGAUGGGAUGGCCUGGACCAGCGCGCGCGCGGGAGACGCCAUGCCAGCCGGCGCCGCUCGCUCCAGCUCCACGCAGGGGAGAGGGAGAGGUGAUCGACACACACCGAUCCGUCGCCCGGCUGCAGCGGAGGAAAACCUGCAUCUGGCAGCUGAAACGCCGCCGCUUCCGCCGGCCGGCCCGGCAUCCACCGUACCUUCUCACCGCCCUCUGUCUCGCUCAAGCAGAAACAACAAAAUAGUGGUGAUCCCGGCCUCUUUGUUUUUUUUAAUUUACUACUACAUCAUUUGUCCUAGUUUAACUGUAUUUAUGAAUUUUCUUGUCCAACGUUCGAUCAUUCGUCUUAUUUAAAAUAAUUUAUAAAAUAUGUUAAAAAAUAAUCACACAUAGAGUAUUAUUCGUGUUUUAUCAUCUAAUAACAUUAAAAAUCUAAUCAUAAAAAAAUUAAAUAUGAUGGACAAAAUUUUGAAUAAAUCUAAUUACAAAGAAAUGAAUAAGACAGAAAAAUGUUUAAAUACUUUUAGUAAUAAUUUUUUUAAUAAGACGAAAAAAAUUGUUUAAAUACAUUUAGUAAUAAAUCUAAUUACAACAAAUAAAUAAUAAUUAUGUAAGUUAUUUGAAUAAAAUAAAUAGUUAAAUAUAUGACAAACAGUCAACGACGCUCUCCGUCAAAGUAUGUAGGGAGUAGUUGACCAUGUUGAGUGAGCUAUACAGUUUGAUCCCUGCCUUUUGAUCAACUGUAAAUUUAUAAAUCCUUAAAUCUCUAGAAGGUGUACUGAAAAUUCAGAGAAGUGAAAUGGAAAUUAAAAAGUGUUUUUAAAACUAGAAAAUGAAUUAGUGUAAAGUAUUAUUGACUAAACUUUAUAAAUCAAUUAUUCGUGACCUUUGUAAGGAAAAGAGAUAGUAUAUACUACCUCCACUGAUAAAUAUUUGACGCACCUGUAGUUGAUUUUAGACAUGAUAUUUAAUCAUUUAUUUUAUUUGAAAUAUUUAUGCAAAUACCAUUUAUUUUGUUGUUACCUGUUUCUAUUAUAAAAAUUCCUCUAAUAACCACUUAAAUUUGUACAUGCAUAUUGCACUAAUUUUUUCUGAAUAAGAGAAACUGUUAAACUUCAUGUGCAAAAUUAACCACGCAACUGAGUUGAAUUACACAGUAGAUUUAUUUUAUUGUUCUCCAGAGCAAUGAUAUGCAUGUACAUAUACAGGACGGUAGCCGACGAAGUGAAGGCGAGGAUGAUAUACAUAAGAUAAUUUUCACUGGACAAGCAGCACCUCUGUCGUUAUUUGCUGGUCACCCGACCGACCAGCCGAAUUAAUACCCAAACAAUUAAUGCAAGCAGCGCUAAAGUACAAGCGCGUAUUAAUUAAUAUAUAACUCCAUACAUGCUACUAGUACUAUACUAUAUACCAAUGUGCCGAUCUGUCAAUAAUCUCAGGCAUCCAGAAAUGAUUAUUUUUGUUUAGUUUAAUAUAAUCAUCUUCGUAUGAGGGCUGAC
rnacentral:lncRNA from 1 species